rnacentral:rRNA from 1 species
CCUACGGGUGGCAGCAGUGGGGAAUAUUGGACAAUGGGCGAAAGCCUGAUCCAGCCAUGCCGCGUGUGUGAAGAAGGCCUUCGGGUUGUAAAGCACUUUCAGUGGGGAAGAAAGCCUUGGGGCUAAUACCCUCGAGGAAGGACAUCACCCACAGAAGAAGCACCGGCUAACUCCGUGCCAGCAGCCGCGGUAAUACGGAGGGUGCGAGCGUUACUCGGAAUUACUGGGCGUAAAGCGCGCGUAGGCGGUCUGAUAAGCCGGUUGUGAAAGCCCCGGGCUCAACCUGGGAACGGCAUCCGGAACUGUCAGGCUAGAGUGCAGGAGAGGAAGGUAGAAUUCCCGGUGUAGCGGUGAAAUGCGUAGAGAUCGGGAGGAAUACCAGUGGCGAAGGCGGCCUUCUGGACUGACACUGACGCUGAGGUGCGAAAGCGUGGGUAGCAAACAGGAUUAGAUACCCUGGUAGUC